GUUAUUGUUUAGUAUUAUCUCCAGGGAAUAUCCAAAAUGAUGUAUAUAUGCGUAACAACCAAUGAUUUAUUUAGGCCGGUCUACAUAGACUUAAUAAAUCUUAAGGACAAGCCAUGUCAUAAAUACACCGUUGUAUAACUUGGAAAAGAAACAAUCAAGAGUUAAAGUAACUAGGUAUUUUUAUGAAGCCCUCAAGCAUAACAUGAACAUCUGCACUUCUAAAUUUUCUUUCAGGUUCAACAUAUCGAUAAAAAUAAACAGAAAAGAUUUUCCUUGAACACCGCAAAGUCACUAACAAAGAAUAAAUGUUAAUUACAUGAAAUAACAAUACUGCUGCAUACAAGAGGAUAAAGUGCCUCCAUCUAGUGCUGGAAAUAAUGAAAAUGUCUAAACUGUUUAUUAAUGUAGAAGAAUGGCGCAAGAAUUAUCAUUUCAUACCGAUAUUUACAGAUCUAUAAAACACUUAAAAAGUUUUGUUUUUUAAUAU